GCAUCUACCGAUUGAAUGGAGAGGUAAAAUCUCCGGACUAUGACGCGUUGGGGUCAAACCUAAUGCAGUCGUGGGAAGUGGAUUAAACCUUUCAUUUAGAGGAAGAUGAAGUCGUAACAAGGUUUCCGUAGGUGAACCUGCAGAAGGAUCAAGAUCGGGAGAGCGUCGGGGAGGGGAAGGGUGGAGAACUUGGGUGUUCGCGGAGUAUUAAAAAAAAAAAAGGAAAUAAAACAAACACGAAGAGAUAUGAUCAACACUAAGAGAGCUAAGCACGCA
rnacentral:misc_RNA from 1 species